AGGCGGCCAUUUCUCACACAGUUCUUCUCUCCCAUGUUUCUGAAGGCAUUUUUCCAUCACAUUUUUCGGUGAAAGGGGCGACAGGAGCCAGCUUGCUAACAUUGGCC